AAAGGGAUCAAAAGAAACCUGAGAAGUAUGGGAAAUAGGGUUGUUCAUGUCUGCUGCUAAGAUGUGAAUGUGUUUUUUUUCUAAUUAACAGAACUUAAAAGCAGUGUUUUGUAAUGUCAUCUCUACGGUUGGUGGUGAAAAUGGGACUGUUAAGUCCCAUUUGGAGUGGGUAGUGGGUCAGCAGCAAUGUGUGAGUGCUAUUCUGGAUCUCAUGUUUGUCUCUGCCUUAAAAUAAAUUAAAUCACUCUCUAUUGCUGUUGGCAAGCAGCCAAGAACAGCUGAGCUGCAGUGUUCCCUGUGACAAGCUGUGUGUGCUGUAUGUGUCUGGUUUUGCUCAAUAACUCCUCAGCCAUGGGCUCCAAGACUGAGUGGGGGUGGCUUCUCCAGCCACCAGUAAUGACUGUUUCUCAUGGGAUUACUUCAUUGGACGCUCUGGCUAUGGGAUGCAGCACAGCCUUGUUUGACCACCAUGUUUUUUCAUGUGCGCCUUAUAGGGGUUCCUGUUUUCAUAGUUUCUUCUGCCUUUUUCUACGUCAACUGUAAAGCAGAGAAAUUACAAGAAGAAUCAUGUCUUUCUGUAAGGAAUUUAAAAGAUAUCCUGUAAAAUACUGCUGCAGUUCUCCCAAAAUCUGCCCCUUAGCCUUUGCACCAGAGUCCCAUUUGGAGGUAUCUGUAAGGCAUUUACCAUAUUGCAAAUAAUUCCCCUCUAACACAUGCUGCAUGUCCUUUGCCGGCUCAUGAAAACCGUGUGCUCCAGCUAAAUUUUGGUGGAGGGAGAGGAUCAGGAUCAAAUGCAUUUGGGUAAUGAGUUGUAUGUGCAUUGAAUAUUCUUCUGAUUAUGGUUUUGGAUAAUUGGGGAAAUUUUCAAAGUAAUUAGAAGCCACUAAAGGGACAUGAUGCUGCUUCAUGUAUUAAGCUCUGAUUAACUGAAGUGUGGAAAGUUCACACUGAAAAAAACAGUCAAAAACUUGGGGUACCACUUUCACACUAAUUGAGCCAUUGCAGCACUUGGAGAUUUGUAGCCAAAGAUCAUCUAUUUGUACGGAAACCUCAAUGGCAGAGACUGCCAUCGUACUUGGGAAGUCUCCAGUGUGGCUGCAAUUCUCCCCACUCCUCUGCAUUUGGCUUUUGACUUGGUCCUGCUCCCAGCAGAUUGAUUUUUUCUCACUCUGUGGCCUGUAGGAGCCUUCUCUUGGGUCUGUGAAUCACCCUGACUCCUUCAGCAAGAUCAGUGCCUAGGUCCAGAUCCACUCCUAAAUAGCUGUUGGCAUCAUGAGACCACUAGGCUACAAACACAGCCAGCAGUGCCUGAAUUGAGAUAGUAUUUAGUUGCAGAAUCAUUACAUGGCAUCUGUAAUUAUGCAGAUGUCUGUGUUUUUGUAAUAGUAAUAAUAAAAAGGGUAAAGAAAGUUGGCCUCUGAAUGCUUGUCAAGUGGGAAAGGUUUCUGCCUUGGGAAGUCGCUGUGCUGGGGGCUUUUAGGGGACAGGUAGAUGCAGCAUUUAGGCAUAUGGUGUAGUGAUGGACUUGCAGUGUCAGGUGGAUAGCAAUGUAAAGGUGCUAUGCCUCAGAGCUGGUGGGCUCUGCACUGCGCAUCAGCAUAUAGGGAAAGCAUCAACAAUCCUAAGGAUUAGCUGUGAAACUGUUGUAAUGGGGAGGGAGACAAGGGACACCUUCUCUCAGAAAUAUCUUGAUUGCAUCAGGGAAACUGAAAUGAUGUGAGACAAUUUGGAUUUUGUUGCCAGGGCAUCCCCUGUGCUGCAGUCCCUUGUGAGCUAUGGUUAUCCCCUGCACUAAAAGUCCUAAAUCCUGUCUUGGAGUGGCUACCAUAAGUGUUCUAGGCAGAACAUCAGCAAAGCAUAAGUGCAAUGCUCAUUUCACAUCUGUCCUUAAUUAAUCAUUUCCUAAAUACUAAAGGUACCAUAUCAUUGUGAUUUUCCCUUUUUAAUCUGCUGAGGGAGGCGAUGUGAGUGAUCACGUGUGAUGAUCUGGGAGCAGAAUAUAGUACUGCCAGGUGCAGAACACAGAGAGGGCAUUCCUCUAAAGUGUGCUGCUGGACACCUGCACCAAGCCAUUGCUUUUAGCCUCAGGAAGGCACCUGGUGGAGGCCCCAGAGAAAAGUCCCACAAGAAGGAAAGGCCAGGUGGCAGCACCCCAUGGAUUUGCACGCUGCAACAGCCCUGCUCCGGGCCCUCACAAGGUGGUUUCUGUCCAGCUUUACAUCAGAGCUGUUUCACCCCUUUUAUCAACAUAGCUUGCUAGCCGGUGGGUGGGUAUGGGGUUUGUGUUGUAAGGAAAAGCAGGAAAACUCGAGGGUAUUUUUUUUUCCUUACAAAGCCUUUGAAAAGUCACUGGGGACCCCUAAUGUUCGCCUGCUGCAGAAGCACACGCUUUCAGAGCUGAAGCUGCAGAUGCUACUUCAGGCAUCUGUGGGUUUGGUCACAUUGGUCACUUGAUGGUAAAAGUACCAAAGUACUCUGGGGUGCAAAAAUCCUCAUGCUCUGUUCCGCACCAGGGUAUUAUCCAUUCAUGUGAGCAAUCAUAUAAAGGAAAAAAUAGGUUCAUAAAGUGGGUGGUUUGGCAACAGAAUGCUUUAUAAAAGGCAUUGGGAGAAAUAAUUCUAAGAGGUUUUAGGGAUAUCCUCUAGCCCCAAGAUCAACUCAAUCCCAGAUCUCUGAGCCUCACUCCUUCCAAGAAGGCUGCUAGACCCUUCCCCAGCUCCACAGCAUCUUUGAUUUGGUGACAGGUACCAAACCCAGUCAAAACCUGCAGAAUGUGAUGCUUGCAACAGGAAUGAGCUGCCCUUCUCUCCUUCCCACAUCCAGCCCCAAACCCAAGUAAAUCAGCAAAACCUGCAAUUUCUAAGUGGCUUCUAACGCACUGAAAGUCAAUUAGAGCGAUUAAAACAGAGCUGCUAACCACAGGUCUUCAUCACCGACACCAUGCUGAACGUCUGUUCUGUGCAGUUCCCAAGUAAAUGUGCAGGGAGAGGAAAGGAUUUUUUUUAAAGCAGCCAAAUUGCCUCUAAUUAGCAACACAACUGUAGUCAAAACAUAGUGUGUGGAUAAUAAAUUGAUAUUUGCAUAAUGGAAACACUACCAAAAUGUACUUCAAAUAAGCUGAAUUAUAUUAUAAUUAGAGUUGUGUUUUGGGAAAGAAAAUCCUCCUAAUUACAGCUGUAUAGACAGUGCCAAGGAGGAGAGGGCUGCAGCAGCCAAGGUAUGGGGCACAGCAUGGGGCCUGCAGGAGUGGCUCCAAAGGUAGGGUAGUUGGCCUUUUCUUUCCCUUCCCUUCCCUUCCCUUUUCUUUUUUUCCUGUGUCAGGUAGAACUUCAUGGAGAGGGUGGUCAGGCGUUGGAACAGGCUGCCCAGAGAAGUGUUGGAGUUUCCAUCCCUGGAGCUCUUACCAAAACACUGGAAGGAACUGGAUGACAAGUCACCAGCUGGUUGUAUGAGGCCAUGGGAUCCAGCAAGGCAGUGACUGCAGACUGACCUGGGCAUCCCUAGCAGCAGCACCAUUGCCAGCAAAACGUAUGGCUCUGCAGAGUGAAUGCAGUUUCUGUCAAAUGCAGGCCUUCCCAUGGUAAUUUUAAACUGAGGCCACCUCGAGGAUUAAGGCAGUUUCCAUUAAUUAUAUUAUAUUAAUUAUAUUUCCCAAAAACUGGCAUGGUAAUGGUGAAGUUUUUAAGGAAUGGCAGCUGUUACAUGAAGAUUUUAUUUAUCUUAACCAUAAUACUUUCUAUUAAACCACUGUUAUUCAUAUUACAGGUGACAUCACUCACACACGUCAUGCUGAUUAAUGACAACAAAGCUUUAAUCACAAUCAUCUGUUGCAAAAAAUAAGCAGAGCAUGAAAUAGAUACAGCACAACCACAGCAUCAAACCCUUGGCACAGGUCAGUAUCUGGAUCUAACUUAAUAUCAGGAGACUAAUUGGUAUAAGGUGUGAUCUCCAGCUCGUAAUUGGAUUUCAAUAAAGGUGCAGAAGAAGACAAGGCUGGUGCAGUUAUUCAGGGCAGCUUUCUGCUCUUGAGAAUGUUCUCUAGAAGUUCCUGAGCUUCUCGGAGCCCAUGGGCUGCAGCCACACCAAGGAGUUUUUCCACUUCCCUGAAGGACAUGAAAUCUUCAUCAAGAAAAACUAGGAGUUUUGGGUUGUUCCUAUCUGACUUACCCAGGCUUCUAAUAAAGGACAACUACUACUGGAUCUGAAAGAUUCUAUGAUGUUCAGCGGUCUAAUAUUCAGAGAAUUAUCUGGUUUUUAUUUUGCUUUUCACUGUUAUCUGAGCAUGUAUGUCUGAUUAUUGGUGAUUUUCCUGACCUGACUGAACCGAAGCCGUAUGAUCUGAAACUCUUGAAAUAUAUACUUAUUAUACAAUCAAA